UAUGUUGUAGACUAAUCGGUAAGUCAUGAGUUUUUGAUACUUAUCAUUGAGUGUUCGAAUCACUCCAACAUAA